rnacentral:rRNA from 1 species
CUGCGGAAGGAUCAUUACCGAGUGCGGGUUCGAACGAGCCCAACCUCCCACCCGUGUUUACUGUUACCGCGUUGCCUCGGCGGGCCCACUGGGGCCUGGCCCCGGUCGCCGGGGGGCUUCUGCCCCCGGGCCCGCUCCCGCCGAAGCACCCUAGAACCCUGCCUGAACAGUGAGUCUGAGUGAGAUUUUAAAUCAUUAAAACUUUCAACAACGGAUCUCUUGGUUCCGGCAUCGAUGAAGAACGCAGCGAAAUGCGAUAAGUAAUGUGAAUUGCAGAAUUCCGUGAAUCAUCGAAUCUUUGAACGCACAUUGCGCCCCCUGGCAUUCCGGGGGGCAUGCCUGUCCGAGCGUCAUUUCUGCCCUCCAGCACGGCUGGGUUUGGGCGCUGUCCCCCCGGGGACACGCCCCAAAAGCAGUGGCGGCGCCGCGUCGGGUCCUCGAGCGUAUGGGGCUCUGUCACCCGCUCGGGAGGGACUCGGUCGGCGCUGGUCUUCCCUUUAGGCCGCCCUUCGGGGUGCGCCUCUUCCGGUUGACCUCGGAUCAGGUAGGGCUACCCGCUGAACUUAAGCAUAUCAAUAAGCGGAGGAAAAGAAACCAACAGGGAUUGCCUCAGUAACGGCGAGUGAAGCGGCAAGAGCUCAAAUUUGAAAUCUGGCUCCUUCGGGGCCCGAGUUGUAAUUUUGGAGAGGAUGCUUCGGGCGUGGCCCCUAUCUAAGUGCCCUGGAACGGGCCGUCAUAGAGGGUGAGAAUCC